rnacentral:rRNA from 1 species
GUUUUUUUUUCCCCCCCCCCAUUUAUAUGCUGAUGUUAAAGAUUAAGCCAUGCAUGUGUAAGUAUAAAGACCAAGUAGGAUGAAACUGCGGACGGCUCAUUAUAACAGUAAUAGUUUCUUUGGUUAGUAAAGUACAAGGAUAGCUUUGUGAAUGAUAAAGAUAAUACUUGAGACGAUCCAAUUUGUAUUAGUACAAAGUGGCCAAUUUAUGUAAGUAAAUUGAGAAAUGACAUUCUAAGUGAGUUAGGAUGCCACGACAAUUGUAGAACACACAGUGUUUAACAAGUAACCAAUGAGAAUUUCUGAUCUAUCAAUCAGUUGGUAGUAUCGAGGACUACCAAGAUUAUAACGGAUAACGAGGAAUUGGGGUUCGACAUCGGAGAGGGAGCUUUACAGAUGGCUACCACUUCUAAGGAAGGCAGCAGGCGCGUAAAUUACCCACUUUCGAAUUGAAGAGGUAGUGACGACACAUAACUCUAGAGUUGAGUAAAAUCAAUUCUUGAAGGAAUGAGUAGGAGGUAAAUUCUCCUACGAAAUCAAUUGGAGGGCAAGUCUGGUGCCAGCAGCCGCGGUAAUUCCCCCCCAAAAAUG